GUUCUCAGCUCAUCAAGACUUUGAUCAUUAGUGGCUGAAUGAAAGCAGGUGUGUUAGAACUGAAAACACUUAAAUGUGCAGGUCGUGGAGUCUUCUCUACUCUGGAAAGUGUGUGGAGUUCUGUUUGGGAUUAACACACCAAGGAAGUAAACUUAGCUCAUCUGGAAAUUUCUUCAAGACUUCAAGGGGGGAAAAACAGAUAAAGUUCCAGGUAAUGAUGUUGGUGGACCUGCGACUGAUAUAGAAGAAGAAGACUUUAUUGGUCACAUAUACAUUACAG
ensembl:lncRNA